UCACGGUAGCCGUAGGGUUUGACACGGUACCCGUAGAGUUUGAUCGGGGUUUGAUUAGUUGGCGGAGGGGUGAGUAAUGCCUAGGAAUCUGCCUGGUAGUGGGGGACAACGUUCCGAAAGGAGCGCUAAUACCGCAUACGUCCUACGGGAGAAAGUGGGGGAUCUUCGGACCUCACGCUAUCAGAUGAGCCUAGGUCGGAUUAGCUAGUAGGUGGGGUAAUGGCUCACCUAGGCGACGAUCCGUAACUGGUCUGAGAGGAUGAUCAGUCACACUGGAACUGAGACACGGUCCAGACUCCUACGGGAGGCAGCAGUGGGGAAUAUUGGACAAUGGGCGAAAGCCUGAUCCAGCCAUGCCGCGUGUGUGAAGAAGGUCUUCGGAUUGUAAAGCACUUUAAGUUGGGAGGAAGGGCAGUAAGUUAAUACCUUGCUGUUUUGACGUUACCAACAGAAUAAGCACCGGCUAACUUCGUGCCAGCAGCCGCGGUAAUACGAAGGGUGCAAGCGUUAAUCGGAAUUACUGGGCGUAAAGCGCGCGUAGGUGGUUUGGUAAGAUGGAUGUGAAAUCCCCGGGCUCAACCUGGGAACUGCAUCCAUAACUGCCUGACUAGAGUACGGUAGAGGGUGGUGGAAUUUCCUGUGUAGCGGUGAAAUGCGUAGAUAUAGGAAGG
rnacentral:rRNA from 1 species